rnacentral:rRNA from 1 species
UACGAAGGGGGCUAGCGUUGUUCGGAAUUACUGGGCGUAAAGGGCGCGCAGGCGGCCCUCCAAGUCAGGCGUGAAAGCCCCGGGCUCAACCCGGGAACAGCGCUUGAGACUGGGGGGCUUGUAGGUCGGAGAGGAGAGUGGAAUUCCCAGUGUAGAGGUGAAAUUCGUAGAUAUUGGGAAGAACACCGGUGGCGAAGGCGGGUCUCUGGGCCGAUACUGACGCUGAGGAGCGAAAGCGUGGGGAGCGAACAGG